rnacentral:tRNA from 1 species
AGUAAAAUCAGCUAAUUAAGCUCUUGGGCCCAUACCCCAAACAUGUUGGUUAAAAUCCUUCUUUUGCUA